rnacentral:rRNA from 1 species
AAACCGUUCAGGGGUAAACCUAAGAAACCCAAAAGAUCGAACGGGGAGAUUCAUCGUCAGCGGCGCUGGCUUCGCGUCGGUGGGCGAUGUCCCGCGGGGCCCUCCGGGGCUCUCUCGCGCGGGCACGCUACCGUGCGUCGACGUCCGGCGUUCGUAGUCGUGCACUUCUCCCCUAGUAGAACGUCGCGACCCGCUGGAUGUCGGUCUACGGCUCGGGUGCGGUGACUGCCGCGUCGCCGGUAAAACGGCACGCGCGCAAACCCCCGUUCGCCCGGCCGGCUGUCCGGCGGUACACGCAAGGUAUCAGGCCGCAAAAUUUGAACGAUGCGUCGAGGCCGUCGCAAGCGCGCGCCACGGUUACUCGGAGGUUACGGACCUAGCGCCGUCCCCGGUCCUGGCCCGCUGUUGGUAGUACGGUUCGCCUUCGACAGGCCCGCGAACGUCCCACCCCCCGAUAAAAAGGGGGGACCCAUGGGACCGAUACCGGUCGGCGACGCUACUGCUUUGGGUACUCUUAGGA